CUUGAAUCUAAUCAUUGUGUUGAAAAGAGGUGUUGAGCCUACGAAAUGAAGAAGGUCCUUAGCACUCACCAGGAACAGUGGUUGCCUCUAGGAAUGAAAUGGGAUGACGGAAGACCUGGGGAGCCGUAGCAGAAGGAGACACUCAUGAUGCACCUUUUGGCCAUUGUCACUGUCAUGGCUAAGAAAGCAACUGCAACCCACACACUGCAAAUAUGAAGGACCACGAAAGGCACGCAGGCUCUGGUUUGCAUAGUGAAGAUGAGCGUCCGUGUUCCUAAGCAUGAAGGAGGACCACAUGAGUAUCCUGGACACCUACUGCAUGAAUGUCUUUGCCCUUUCAGGUCUAGGGACCUGCAUCUCCUGGACAGUCAGCCGAGUGUUUCCAUGAUACCAGCCAUACCUGAUGCCAGGAGACUCGCUACACUUGGAAGAUCUUCAAGGCAUGCUUAUCUUUGUGAACUGAAUCUUGGAGAAGCAGGAUUGAAAAUAAGAGCUAUCUUUGAGGCUCUAGCACCUACAAGAGACACCCUCCCUCUCCACCGUGGAUCACCUGUCUCACCCGUGUGAGUCUCCACACAGAAACCAGUCACGGCCCUGCCUUUGCCCCCCUUGAAAUCACCCAAGAGGAUGCUUCAAACUCAGGCAAGCACAACUGAUACUCACUAUGC
rnacentral:lncRNA from 1 species